GGCUGCGUGGUGUAGUGGUAACACCUCCGCUCUGCCUUGAUGUGCAGUACACUAUGCCGCCGGCUUGUGUAUUGCACAAUAAGUCAGCAGAUGACGUGGGUUCGAAUCCCGCCGCAUUCA